rnacentral:rRNA from 1 species
CGGAAGGGGCAAGCGUUGUUCGGAAUCAUUGGGCGUAAAGGGCGCGUAGGUGGUCCUAUGUGUCUACUGUGAAAGCACACGGCUCAACCGUGUCGGGUCGGUAGAAACUGUAGGACUUGAGGCUGGGAGGGGCUGGUGGAAUUCCCUGUGUAGCGGUGAAAUGCGUAGAGAUGGGGGAGAACACUCGUGGCGAAGGCGGCCAGCUGGACCAGUCCUGACACUGAGGCGCGACAGCAUGGGGAGCAAACGGGAUUAGAUACCCUGGUAGUCCAUGCCGUAAACGAUGGGCACUAGGUGCCGGCGGUAUUAAUUCCGUCGGUGCCGGCGCUAACGCAGUAAGUGCCCCGCCUGGGGAGUACGGUCGCAAGGCUG